GGAAGUUCAACCACAUAACCCACCUUGAAGCUGUGACUGUACUGUUCUAUUGCUGCUGACAAACUAGGCCAGCUGGCUAAUUAAUUAAGGAUGAGACACUUGGUGAUGUGCACCUGGAAAUCAUUAGAUGCCUGGAGGUUACACAUUCACACUUAACUAGGACUUUCACCAUGAGGUGAACUCUGAUGUUUUCAUGAGCUGAGGAAUAAUGAGAAUGGACCAAGGCAUUAACAUGUUCAAGACCGAUAAUAAUUUCCUGCUGCUACAUAACAACCAAAGCAUCUAUUGUCAGAGCAGGAGAUACUGAUCCUCCAACAGUGCUGUGUUAUGAUGUGAUCCCGAAUGACUGAAGUACUUCCAUCUGAUGAAUAGUCACAGCACUACUGACACUCCUAACUAUUGCCAAUAGAGAAGAUUUUCCAGGGUCUACGCAAUGUGCUGAUUGUUCUUUAACAGGAGAAGGGAAUGCAGAAAUAUGAGGUAGAGUGUGACUCUGCAAGUAAAAUACCAGGAGACUAUAGCAGAACAGUGGAACGAGGAUUUUCCCUGGGUGGCUGUUGUUCUGAUGUAAAUGAAACAUAACACAUAAAUUUUAAGAAUAAAAAUAAAAGUAUGUAUACUUUAGCUGUAAUCUCAGUUAUUACUUGUUCUGAGAAAAAAGAAGGGAGGAUAGUGAUUAUGGUGGGGAAGAAAGUUCUUUUAUUUUUGCUAACAAUAAGUUAAGUUAGGGUGGAUAAAAUAUGUGAUAUUUUUGCUCAGAAUACUCAUAGCUUUUUGCUUUUUUCCUUACUCAAUUAAAAUCCAGCACAUCUAGAAGAUGUUUCUGUCUUGCACAAAACUAAAUUCAAAUGUGGCUGGCGAGACAUCAAUGCAUCACUUAGCUGGCUGUGAAAAGUAGCAGGGGCUCUGAGAUCCUGUCAGUGUUUAAGAGGGUAAAGUGCUAAAAGAGAAAUCAGUCAAAUUCUCAGAUUCAUUAUGACCCAUAAGAUGCCUGCCAGAAAUUAAAUGCCCGGUGGAAAUCAGCAGAGUGUGGUUGUGUGUGAGUGUGUGUGUGAUGGAAGUCAGAAAUGUGUUUCUGUGUGUACAAGUGGAGGAACGAAAGUAGAAAUUGAAAUUUCAAUCAUAAAUUCCCCUUUAUUGCUGGGUGCAGGCUGAGAGGUAGAAAGGACAAUCCCAUAUACAGGGUCGAAUGUGCUUUCUUCUAUAAUUUUUAACACUUUUCCUUAGUAUAUUUCAGUGUUUCAGGUGAGUUACGAUAAGAA